GAUGAAGAACGCAGCGAAAUGCGAUAAGUAAUGUGAAUUGCAGAAUUCAGUGAAUCAUCGAAUCUUUGAACGCACAUUGCGCCCGCUAGUAUUCUGGCGGGCAUGCCUGUUCGAGCGUCAUUUCAACCAUCAAGCCCCCCGGCUUGUGUUGGGGACCUGCGGCUGCCGCAGGCCCUGAAAAGCAGUGGCGGGCUCGCUGUCACACCGAGCGUAGUAGAUCUCAUCUCGCUCAGGGCGUGCUGCGGGUUCCGGCCGUUAAACCACCUUCAUAACCCAAGGUUGACCUCGGAUCAGGUAGGAAGACCCGCUGAACUUAAGCAUAUCAAUAAGCGGAGGA
rnacentral:misc_RNA from 1 species